rnacentral:rRNA from 1 species
UACGGAGGGUGCAAGCGUUGCUCGGAAUUAUUGGGCGUAAAGGGUAGGUAGGUGGUCUCAUUUGUCUGGGGUGAAAGCCUUGAGCUUAACUCAAGAAGUGCCCCAGAAACGGUGAGACUAGAGUCUUGGAGAGGGUCGUGGAAUUCCUGGUGUAGCGGUGAAAUGCGCAGAUAUCAGGAGGAACACCGAUGGCGAAGGCAGGUCUCUGGGCCACUACUGACGCUGAGAAGCGAAAGCAUGGGGAGCGAACAGG